GAUGAACGCUGGCGGCGUGCCUAAUACAUGCAAGUCGAGCGAAUGGAUUAAGAGCUUGCUCUUAUGAAGUUAGCGGCGGACGGGUGAGUAACACGUGGGUAACCUGCCCAUAAGACUGGGAUAACUCCGGGAAACCGGGGCUAAUACCGGAUAACAUUUUGAACCGCAUGGUUCGAAAUUGAAAGGCGGCUUCGGCUGUCACUUAUGGAUGGACCCGCGUCGCAUUAGCUAGUUGGUGGGGUAACGGCUCACCAAGGGAACGAAGCGUAGCCGACCUGAGAGGGUGAUCGGCCACACUGGGACUGAGACACGGCCCAGACUCCUACGGGAGGCAGCAGUAGGGAAUCUUCCGCAAUGGACGAAAGUCUGACGGAGCAACGCCGCGUGAGUGAUGAAGGCUUUCGGGUCGUAAAACUCUGUUGUUAGGGAAGAACAAGUGCUAGUUGAAUAAGCCGGCACCUUGACGGUACCUAACCAGAAAGCCACGGCUAACUACGUGCCAGCCGCCGCCGUAA
rnacentral:rRNA from 1 species